rnacentral:lncRNA from 1 species
GCGGUGGCUCAAGCCUGUAAUCCCAGCACUUUGGGAGGUUGAGGCGGGUGGAUCACGAGGUCAAGAGAUCGAGACCAUCCUGGUCAACAUGGCGAAACCCCGUCUCUACUAAAAAUACAAAAAAUUAGCUGGGCAUGGUGGUGCACGCCUGUAAUCCCAGCUACUCGGGAGGCUGAGACAGAAGAAUUGCCGGAACCCAGGAGGCGGAGGUUGCGGUGAGCCGAGAUUGCGCCAUUGCACUCCAGCCUGGGUAACAAGAGCGAACUCCGUCUCAAAAAAAAAAAAAAAAAAGUAAAAUUAGAAAACCUGAGUGGGCACAGGAACAAGCUCAGGAUUUAAACUGCUUGUUGCUGCUGUAAUGUGUGAACAGUGCAUCUUUAGUGUAGGUUCUAAAACAAAGCUUGUGGUGCAACCCUGGUGACAGUGGUCACAGGCAGAGUCUGCUGUAUCUGUCCCCCACACUUAUGCCUUCCUCUACACAGAGCCAGCACCAGCAAAGGGUGCUUGUAAAUCAGGAUGUUCCAAAGCUGGGAGAAGAGAAACCAGGGUGUCUUUGUGUUUGAAUGAAUCAUCCUAUUUCACGUGUCAUCCUAUUUACUGUUGAUGUCUUCCUUGUACCAUUUUCCAACAGGAUCUGGGAAAAUGGUGCAUUCUAAUCAGUGGGCCUGGGAUUUCUUUACUCAGAAUGAGCAUCUUUCAGGAGGAUGGCUGAGGGUGAAGCUACCUCUAAAGAAAUCACAGAGGGACUCAUUGGCUAAGUCCGUGCUAAGAGGAACUCGAUUGAGGACCAGAGGUCCAGUCAGAAGUAACAAGCCACUAGCCAGCUGCUUCAGGAAAACCACCCUCUUGCCCCUGUGGCAUCCAGUGAGGAUGAUCAGAAUGGUCCCGGGGGUAAUGCUGGCUCGCAGUUUUCUCAUGUGCUGACUAAAGGAUUUUUUGCCAUGGCUCAACAGCUUUUGAGGCACAUCUUCGGUAGGAUAAUACCUAGGCAUUUUGCGAAGUUUAACCACCCGGGUGCCGCUGUUUUUGUCACCACCAACUGGUUUUGUAACAGUUGCAAGAACCUUCUCCUUUUUCUUUUCAACCUUGGAUUUAGCCGCUGAGUACCUCCUCUUGUACAAGGCUUUUCUGGAAUACAUGGCAGAUCAUGGAUACCUGCCAAUUCCUCUGACAAGAACAGAAUUGCGGCUGCAAUGGGGCUUCCACUUCUUGGGCUUUUUAGCCUUGAGGCUACCCUUUUUCACUUUGCUACCAGCAUCAGCCUUCUUGGCUUCAGGUUUCUUCUCUUUAGUAUCCGGCUUCUCAACUUUUUCACCUGCCUUCUUGCAAGAUGGGAAUGAGCCGAAACUCCUAUAGCCACAUUUGAGCCACAGGGAAUUUCUCAGAGUGGCUUUCAGGGUAAGUCUACCUGCAGACCAUUGUUAUGUUUAAUUUUGUCUGUUCCCUAAACGUUGAUCAUCAUCUCAAAGUGCUGGGCCAGCAUUCUGUCGUUAGGAUUUGGAUUGUAGAAAUUUGACAAGCAAUGGUACAAAGUUCAAAAAAAGAGAAAGGAAAAGAAAAUACAAAGUAAAGUAAUAGUAAUAUGAUAAAAUCAGUUUAUAUAACAGUUUUGAGGCAAUGAAUCUAGGCUUAAAGGCAACCAGUUGAGUAAUCAAAUGACUACGGUUAAUUAGAUGAGACCUGUUGUAAUGAUGUGGCCUGUUUUAUUAUUUUGUGU